CUUUGAAGCAACCCAAGUCCGAGAAGAAAGACUACGACGAGUCUGAUUUGGCUAACCUUCAGAAGAAAAAAGAUGAGGAAAAGG